rnacentral:lncRNA from 14 species
CAGGUAAAAAUGUUGCAUAAAACAUUAUAAAUUAAAAAGUGGAGUUUUGUGUUUUCAAAGGUGGAUGUGGGUGAAAGCAAGAUUUGUUCUUGCUGUGGAGAAUUUCAUCUCACUAAAUGCACAGAAGAAGAGGCUGUGCUGAUGCUAUACCACCUGAAGUCAUGCAGUGCUUCUCACCUUCUUCUCAAGAAAGUUCUCUUUGCUCUUUGUGCCCUGAAUGCUUUCACCAUCACAGUUUGCUUGGUAGCGGCUAUCCUGCGUUGCUUACAG